rnacentral:ncRNA from 1 species
AAACAGACAUAGAGAAGGAAUAGUAGGGAGCAGCUUUUUUUGAAGAGAGCGCAUGGGUGGUGAAAAUGCGCAAAGAGCCUCUCGAACUCGCCUUUGAGUUGUUCCGCUGAAAGCAUCAGUAAGCGGGACCGCAUCGCUGCGUUACAGGCAUGAUAAGGAAUGCAAAGACAUUCAAUAUAGGUGGUACCGCGGAAAAUUCGUCCUAUAG